CCAGAUUCAUCUUAAUUGUGUCUAUUCCUCGUCCCUGAAGCAUUGUCACCGAUUUACAAGACGAGUCAGUUGCUCAUCCAGUCAGUGCAACUUCUAUUAAGUUGUGUUUCGACUCUCUGAUCUGCCUUCUCUGCCGAGUCGUGUUUCGGCUCUCUGAUACGUCUCUCUGCCGAGUCGUAUUUCAACUCUCUGAUCUGCCUUCUCUGCCGAGUCGUGUUUCGGCUCUCUGAUACGUCUCUCUGCCGAGUCGUGUUUCAACUUUCUGAUAUGUUUCUCUGUUGAGUUGUGUUUCAACUCUUGGAUAUGUCUCUCUACCGAAUCGUUUUCGACUCUCUGAUAUGUUUUUCUCUUUGGGAUUGUCUGCAAUUAAUGUUCCUGAAUCCAUAUGUUCUUAAGGUUUAUUGAUCUGUUGCUGCUUUCUGUCCUUG
rnacentral:lncRNA from 1 species